UGCAGACUUCUCAGCUGAAACCUUAUAAGCCAGAAAGAACUAAGGACCCAUCCUCAAUCUUCUAAAACAAAACCUAGAAUUUUUUACCUGGAAAAACUAAGCUUCCUCUAUGAGGGAGAAAUAAAGACUUUCCCAGACAAGCAAUCACUGAUAGAAUUUGCAAGGACUAGACCUGCCCUGUCGGAAGUACUCAGACCUGCAUUAUACACUGAACAGCACUACAGAUAGCCACAAAAAUAAAACCACUCAAGAGUUAAAGUCCAGAAUCCUGAUUCCACAAUGACUCGAGAGGUAAAAUAAAACAAUAAGAAUUUAUUGAGAAGAAUGAACAGAAAUCCAAGCCAAAUAUCAAUUCUCUCAAUAAAUGUGAAUGGCUUCAAUAAAUGUGAAUGGCUUCAAUGGCUUCUCUUCCACUGAAGAGAAACAAACUUGCUGAGUGGAUCAAAAAACACAAGCAAAGAAUCUGCUGUCUCUGCUGUCUUUCUGAUGUGUAAGGAAAUGCAUCUUACCCACAAAGAUACUUUCUGACUGAAGAUGAAGAGUUGGAAAACAAACUUCUUGGCAAAUGGAAAACAAGAAUAAGUUCAGUUACAAAUAUCUGCACCAACUGCAUGCCCAGCCAAUGGGAAUGUAAAGAUGAGACAAUGCAAAUUUGGAAAUGAAAAGAAGAGAUAAAACAAGCAUGAUAUAAGGUUAUAAAGAACACAUGGAUCUUCAAGGGAUCUUACUUGAAUGUACAGCCACACUCAACUAGUUAUGAUGACUGCAAUGCACUGUAAGAGUUUUUAUUGCCUCUGAGGUUAUCUACGUCCUUAUCUUCAUUCAUUGUUUGUCUCAGGUGAUCUGUCAUGCUCUCUGGAAAGCCCUCAUGUCCCUUCCUAAGAUUAGUGUAAGUAUCUCUCCUAUAUAUUUUCAUCUAACCUUUGUGCUUUCCCCUUAUCUCUCACUGAUGAUGCUGUUUUGUAGUUGCCUCUUUACUCAUCUGUAUGGAUACUUUUGAUUGAGAAAGCUUAUGUUUUGUUCCUUUAGAUGACCCCAGAAACGAGUGCUCAGCAGAUAGCAUCGAUAGUAUUAAUCACGACCCAAAUGUAAGCAAUAGGACAACCAUUUCCUAGUAAAGAGAUGGAAUAAACCUAGAAUAAAAAAAAUUUAAACCCCCUUGAUUUAGAGAAGUCUGACAUCAAUUUAGAGAGACUGACAUAAUAUGCAAAUAAAUCUGAAAAGGGGAUUUCUGUGGGCAGCGAAGGGAUGAAAGGAAACAUCCUUCAGCUUCCUUUCAGCUCUAAGGUGUUUCAAUUCUGUUAUUUAUCAACAUAUAACUAAAACAAGGUAGAAUUAUAAAGGCCAGCCUGAAAAAAAAAUGUCCUGUCCACUUGUAGGACUGGAUGGGUCUAUCAAAUUAAAAGCAGAAAAUAAAUAGUACCUUUACUGAAAUUUAAAGUUGGAAGAAAUUAGAGAUUUUCUAGUUCAUUGGUUUCUAAAUGCAAGUUGUUAGUCUGACAAUAUCACAGUUACCCAGAGAGAUUUAAACAUUCUCUGGCACAACUCUGAAGAUUUCAAUCAGUACAUCAAGGGAAGGGUCUAGGAAUCUGUAUCAUGAGAAAAAUUCCCAGACGAUUUUGCAAACUACUGUGCUGGUUAUAUUCACAUCUUACUUGGAAUUUUUUAGUGGCAGGACCAAGGCUAGAACUUAGUUUCGGCCAGUUAUUAAACUGCAGACUACUAUGUAUUCUAAUAAAAAUAAAUUGUGGCACUAUUAUUACACAUUUUUCAGAUAAAAGAUUCUUGAGGACCAAACCCCCCGCCAACCAAAAACCAAAUCAAAACCACACACAGUUUUGAAUCCAUCACUGAAAGAUUUAUUCAGAAGAAUUACAUUGCUCUGCCUCUUUGACUUUUCAACCAAUAAAAUUUGAGUACAGGACAUAAGUCAUUCCCAGUAGAAACGUUCUGUUUUGCUGGUUCCAGACCUUCCAGUGCCUUCUUCUCUCACCUUGGAGUUCAUGGAGGCAGGUGCUACAUGGAAGCUCAACACUGAGCCAUGGACAAGGGGAUGGAAGAAUCACCAAGACUGUCACUGGAAUUUGAGAGAGAAAUAAACCUUUGUUGUUUUAAGCCACUGGAAUGUUGGAGUCAUUUGUUAUCACAGAAUAGCCUAUACCAUCUGCUAAUUGGAAACUGUGUUUUUCUAAAAUUCUUGUGUUAAAGUCCUAGCCCACAGUUCCUCAGAAUGUGACCUUAUUUGGAUAUGGGUCAUCGCAGAUGUAAUUAGUAAGUAAUGAUGAGGUCACAGAGGUCACAUCACAGUAGGGCGAGUCCCUAAUCCGAUAUGACUAGUGUCCUUAUAAAAAGGGGGGAAGUUGGACACAGGCACGCAUGCAGGGGGAAUGCCAUGUGACAUGAAUGUAAUGAAGGCAGGGAGUAGGGUGAUAUAGCAGAAGCCAAGGAACACCAGAAAUUGCUAGCAAACCACCAGAAAGUUGGAGAGAAUUCUGGAACAGAUUCUCCCACACAGCCCUCAAAAGGAACCAACCUUGCUGACAUCCCAAUCUUCUGGCCUUUCUGCUAAGCCACCCAGUUCAUAGUUCUUUGUUAUAGCGAUCCUAGCAAAUGAAUACACUAUUCUAAUACAAUUCUAUAUUGUUUGAACCAGAAGAUAAUAUAUGUCAGGGAAAGGAGGGGACAACCAUUAGUGGCAGUAACUAAUAUAUUUAUAAAGGGAUGCAAUCUAUGUUCAUGAGAUUACCUAGAAGUAGUUUAAAAUGUCUUUCAUUCUCAUCCUAAAAAUGGGGAUAAUUUUAUGUUUGAUUUUUAAAACUAAGAAAUUAUACUUCUGUUCAAAAUUCAAGUGCCCACAACUUAAAUGAAAAAGAAAAAAGAAAGUUUAUUAAAUAUUCUCGGAGGUCAUUUUCAUAUUUAUAUGGUCCUAUUCUGUUGUCUCUUAAUUAUGAAUGCUGAAGCUUUUAGCUUCAGAGGAUCCGAUAUGUUUGCUAUGAAUGAUUAAGGGUUCAUAAAGUUUUCACCAGCACAUUAAUCUCCAGGUGCAGGGAAAGUCAAGACACUUGUUAAAAUUCUCUAGCCCUCGCACAAGGUUGCCUCAGGAAGUGUGGUAAACAGCUACAGUGCUGGUUCCCUGAGAUAGCACCUAAACACAUCAACUUCAAAGAAAUGCUGUCUAGCAAAAAUAAGUAUUCUACUUUCAGUUAGUUGGCCUAGUAAAUAAGAAGAACUUCAUUUUACAAUAUUUUGCAAGACACUUUCUUUCUGAAAUGAAACACUCCAUGAACAGCAAGUCCAUGAUUCAGAAUCGAGAAAUGUGAUGGACGCUUGAUUGCUUGAGAUGUGAGUAGGCUGUGUCUAAGUCCCCUGCAGACAGUAUG